UUUAGUAAUUAUUCAGGACACCGGGGUUAACACACCUACUCUAAUAGUAUGUGCCACGUGAUCUUUAGUGACCACAGAGACUCAGGACGCCCAUUUAACGUCCCAUCCAAAACGUCCCAUCCGACGGCUUGCAAAGUCUCAACUUCAGUAAAGCAGUAACUUAACAUUAACGAUCCCAAUGUUGUUUAAACUUUCACACCUCUCCUAACCAGCUGUGAUGCACAGUGCCCGUAUACUCAUGGAGCAAGAAAAAAUAAGUGUUUUUUGUGCCCGUGACCCUUGUAUUUAGAAUAAUAAUUUUUUUACAAUAUUUUUUGUUGUUGAUUUAAAAUAAAGCAUUGCGUUCCCUCCCCUCAAUGAAGACUUUAUUUUUUAUUUUUUUGUCUUUCCCGCAGGUUAGCGUUUUUCGUCAUUAAUCUUGUUCUGGAGGCAGCUCUGCAGAGUGGUCACUAGCUUGCCCAGCUACGGUCAUAAAAUCUGGUUUUAAAUCUACCCUUAACCACAUUGCUAACCCUAAUACCUAACCCUAACUUUUUAAACCUUAACAUUGAGACCAAAAAGCCUAUUUGUUUUCAUACAUUUUUACAAUAUAGAGAAUUUUGACUUUGCAGCUGGCCCAGCUAGUAGAAAUCGCUACGUUCUGCAUCCAGGACAAGACUCAUCCCAACAACUUGCAAUGCAUUCGCCAUGUACCCAAGACUGUCAAGAAAAGGUUUGGCUCGUGAGACCGCUUUGAAAUAAAUCUUAAUCACCAAAGCUUUAUGAAAAGAUUAAGUUAGGGAGCAGCAAAACAGUGAGCGGACAUCCCCUUUUUAUCUAUGUACAUUAUUUUGGAUGUGUGUACAACCCCCUUCAUGCAUGCUACAUGCACAUCAUGGAAUGAGAGAUGAGAUGAUGCAGGUGACCCUGGUAUUUAGAAACAUUGAAGUUAUUUUCCUUUAACAAUUGUUUGUUUUCAUUAGAUUAAAAACCAAGCACUCAGUAGGUUACCCCUACUUGAAAGCUGGUUGAACAGCAAUGCGUCGGGUGUCUUCCAGGCCAUGUAUUAGCCUAGUAGCCUAUCCAUAAAAGGUUUCUCGAUGGUCUUCUCCUGAGGCUUUUGCAUUAUUCACAAUUCAAAGGCCCUACCUGCAUACUCCAUUUCGCUUGUAGCUUAUCCAUCCCAACUUCCAAAGAGCGCCUCUUGUCCAGUUAACAAAGGUCCUACAAACAUAUUCAAAUGAUUCAGUCCUAUAAUGCCAUAGCCUAUCCACCAUUGAUAGCUUGCUUACUGCGAACGUGCCUCGCACACCACCUACAAUACAUUUAAGGGGAGCCUAGUAUUUAUGCAAUGCAUAAAGGCAUGUGAAUGGUCAAGCCCUCGUCCCACCUACAACUUAUUUAUUCAUCGAAAUACAUCCCUAUCGCACCACCGCCAGCUAUUGCACUCAUAAUUCCCACUGUAAAAAUAGCUAAAAUAUUGUAGUUUGACCUAAAGCGCUAUUACCAGCACUAAAAUGUGCCAUUGAGUGAAGUUUGUUAAUAUAGAGCCCAAUGUGUGUCCAUCAGUGUCCACAGCAGUUUGAAUAUCCUAACCUUGGCGUGGUUACCUCCACCAUCAUUAUCAUUUAUAAAUGCAGACCUCUGUAGGAGACACCACUCUCAAAUACAGUAGAUAAGCUUUGGUAUCGGUUGUCACUGGAAUGGGUUUGUCAGACAAGUGGAACACAGGUUUGUCAUAAUAGAAUUCAUUGUUUAUCUGUGUCUGUCAUACAGAGCAGAACACUCCACCCUCGCUUCACCUUCUGUCCUGUCCUCACAGCAUGAGGCUGUCCAGGUUUCCAUACUGAUGGAACCCAGAACCCAGGGAAGAUGGGUGUGUUUUGUUCAACUGAUAUCAUCAUAGUUUAAAUUAUAAAAAGCACAAGGGUUUUUAUGAGGGCGAGUGGAAUUACUGUGCUGCUCGAGCAAUGACUGGCAAAGUAAUUAUUAACUAUGACUCAGAACAACACUACAUAGUGUUUGCGUACACGAUACAGUCUACCCACACAGUAAAGCAAUCAAUGAAACAUGAUAACUGAGUUUAAGGGUGACAGAGUAGACAGAGCAUGGAGACAGAGAAAAGUAAUGAGAGAGCGAAAGGAAGAGCAGUGAACAAAGCCUUGAUCAAAGUGACAGCCGAGCUCCAUGUCUUUGUUGAACCCAAGGAGGACCAGACCGAGAGAUGCGGUGUGAGAGCAAGAAAAGUGUUCUGAGCCAGGCUAGCUCAUGUGCCUACUCCUCCCUCCCCUCUGUCCUCACCCCUCUCGCCAUGGAGGCUGCGUGUAGCAGGCUGCAGCACGAAACUGAAAUACAGCACAGGCAUGGUCCAGCAUCACCAGCAGCAGUCAGUCAGACAACCGAGAGAGUCAGGACAGAAAGAACCAAGCCAGUGUGGAUGAAAGGGACGGAGCGACUGCGAGAGGCAGGGAGAGACUGCGAGAGGCAGAGUCAGAUGUAUGCCCCAGGGAGAACUCUGCCACCCCUGCUGAAGAAAUUCCUAGUGUAAACAGUUGAUGAGUGAUAAAUUGCUUGAACUUUUGGCCCAUAUGCUGGGUGUGUUAUUGUUAGAGGUGUGCCGAAUAGUCGGACAACACGAGUAUUGUAACGGAUAUGGGCAAUGUUCUGGAUACGAUUAUGAUCCAAGUAUUUUUUUUUCAAUUCCGUAAUCGGAAUGCAUAUUUCUUGACUUGACAAGUUAAAUAAAAUAAAAUUCACAUGUCAGUCAAGUGAGGUGCUACGUGGCCUAAACUCAAUUGGCUAGUUUGCCUGUCUGUAAAGAGAUGGGUGGGCUGUAUGUUGAUCUUGCUUCUCUGAUUGGAAAGUGAGCUGUAUUUCUCUGUCCACUUAUUUCAUAAAUUCACCCAUUCACUUUCA